UGCAUGCAGGGCCCCUCUCUCUCCUCUGGGGCUGGAGGGGGGAUAAGAGAGACCUGCAGCGUGUCUGCCUCAGCAGAGCUCUGGGGUGUCUGCACCAUGGCCUGGACCCCAUUCCUCCUCCUCACCCUCCUCCUUCACUGCACAGGGUCCCUCUCCCAGCCUGUGCUGACUCAGACGCCCUCUGCAUCUGCCUCCUUGGGAGCCUCAGUCAAGCUCACCUGCACCCUGAGCAGUGGAUACAGUGACUACACCAUUGCAUGGCACCAGCAGCAGCCAGGGAAGGCCCCUCGGUUCUUGAUGUGGAUUGAUGAUGAUGGAACCAAUGGCAAGGGGGACGGGAUCCCUGACCGCUUCUCAGGCUCGGGCUCUGGGGCUGACCGCUACUUGACCAUCUCCAACCUCCAGUCUGAGGACGAGGCUGAUUAUUACUGUCAGUCCUAUGACAGCAGUGAUAUUGCUCACAGUGACAUGGGCAGAUGAGGAAGUGGGACAAAAACCUCAGCCUGCUUAAGGUCUUGUUCUAUGACAAUUUUCAGAGUUUAAAAUAUGUACCAUAUAA